rnacentral:rRNA from 1 species
UACGUAGGGGGCUAGCGUUGUCCGGAUUUAUUGGGCGUAAAGAGCUCGUAGGCGGCUUGUCGCGUCGACUGUGAAAACCCAUGGCUCAACCAUGUGGUCUGCAGUCGAUACGGGCAGGCUAGAAUUCGGUAGGGGAGACUGGAAUUCCUGGUGUAGCGGUGAAAUGCGCAGAUAUCAGGAGGAACACCGGUGGCGAAGGCGGGUCUCUGGGCCGAUAUUGACGCUGAGGAGCGAAAGCGUGGGGAGCGAACAGG